AUUGAACGCUGGCGGCAGGCCUAACACAUGCAAGUCGAGCGGAUGAAGGGAGCUUGCUCCUGGAUUCAGCGGCGGACGGGUGAGUAAUGCCUAGGAAUCUGCCUGGUAGUGGGGGAUAACGUCCGGAAACGGGCGCUAAUACCGCAUACGUCCUGAGGGAGAAAGUGGGGGAUCUUCGUACCUCACGCUAUCAGAUGAGCCUAGGUCGGAUUAGCUAGUUGGUGGGGUAAAGGCCUACCAAGGCGACGAUCCGUAACUGGUCUGAGAGGAUGAUCAGUCGCACUGGAACUGAGACACGGUCCAGACUCCUACGGGAGGCAGCAGUGGGGAAUAUUGGACAAUGGGCGAAAGCCUGAUCCAGCCAUGCCGCGUGUGUGAAGAAGGUCUGCGGAUUGUAAAGCACUUUAAGUUGGGAGGAAGGGCAGUAAGUUAAUACCUUGCUGUUUUGACGUUACCAACAGAAUAAGCACCGGCUAACUUCGUG
rnacentral:rRNA from 1 species